ACAACUUACUUUAUCCAAUGCGAUCCAACUGAGAAAAUUCUGGAGAUUAAGCAGAAAUUGCAAGUCUUGAUUGAUAAGCCAGUAAAUGAUCAGCGACUCAUCUCAUUGUCAAAUGGGGAAUUGUUGGAGGAUUCAAAGACAUUGGCAGAGCAGAAGGUUGAAAAUGAUGCAAAGUUGGCGUUAACCUUGAGAAAAGGCGACAAUGAAUUUGAGGAUAUCAAUAUUGUAAAGCCAGAUGAUUUCUACCAGACUCGAGAUGGAAUGGGUGAGCCUUGACCUUGAAAAGGCAUUGCUGCAGGAUAUAGGUACUGCCGAACACACA
rnacentral:misc_RNA from 1 species